rnacentral:tRNA from 1 species
GGUCGUGGCUCAGUGGUGGAGCACUUACCUAGCACGUGUGAGGCCCUGGGUUCGAUUCUCAGCACCA